rnacentral:rRNA from 1 species
AGGGUUCGAUUCUGGCUCAGGAUGAACGCUAGCUACAGGCUUAACACAUGCAAGUCGAGGGGCAGCAGGACGAUAGCUUGCUAUUGUUGCUGGCGACCGGCGCACGGGUGAGUAACGCGUAUCCAACCUUCCCCUUAGUAGGGCAUAGCCCGGUGAAAAUCGGAUUAAUACCCUAUGUUGUGUCAUGAGGACAUCUGAAUAACACUAAAGAUUUAUCGCUAAGGGAUGGGGAUGCGUCCGAUUAGGUAGUCGGCGGGGUAACGGCCCACCGAGCCCUCGAUCGGUAGGGGUUCUGAGAGGAAGGUCCCCCACACUGGUACUGAGACACGGACCAGACUCCUACGGGAGGCAGCAGUGAGGAAUAUUGGUCAAUGGGCGUAAGCCUGAACCAGCCAAGUAGCGUGCAGGAUGACGGCCCUAUGGGUUGUAAACUGCUUUUAUACGGGGAUAAAGUGAGGGACGUGUCCCUUAUUGUAGGUACCGUAUGAAUAAGGACCGGCUAAUUCCGUGCCAGCAGCAGC